CUUCACAGAAGCUUUACAGAAGCUUUACAGAAGCUUCACAGAAGCUUUAGCUUCUGUAAAGCUUCUGUGAAGCCUCUGUAAAGCUUCUGUAAAGCUUCUGUAAAG